rnacentral:rRNA from 1 species
GACGAACGCUGGCGGCGUGCUUAACACAUGCAAGUCGAGCGGUAAGGCCCUUUCGGGGGUACACGAGCGGCGAACGGGUGAGUAACACGUGGGUGACCUGCCCUCAGCUCUGGGAUAAGACCUGGGAAACUGGGUCUAAUACUGGAUAUGACUCCACGGUGCAUGUCGUGGGGUGGAAAGCCUUGUGCGGCUGAGGAUGGGCCCGCGGCCUAUCAGCUUGUUGGUGGGGNGAUGGCCUACCAAGGCGACGACGGGUAGCCGACGUCG